GCGCUCACCUUUGUUGUCACCGUCACCUUGACUCCGCGUCGAAUCAGGUCCUGAGCCGCUUCGUCCGCUGUCCCGUAGAUCCUCAAUCCGGAAUCCCAGUGCACUCGCAUCUUCGUGUAGGGCGUCUGAUACCGGAUCCCCUUCUCCUUCAGCGCCGCUUUGAUGGGCCCGUACGCCUUGUGUCUCUCCAUGAUGUCAGUCGCGUAAUCGUUGUCAAAGUAAAGUCGUUUGCCGUUCAUCUCAAUCUUCUGUUGCCAAACUUUCCUAAGAACCAGCUCUUUAACAUGAAACUGUAAAAAGUUUACUAUUAUUGAUCUCGGGAUGAGGGAGCAGCUGGUUUUGGGAUCAGUGCUCUGUGCGCCCUCUGGAUCUGGAGCUCCACUCCGUCAGGCAGGGUAAGGCGGCUUUUAAGCAGUUCUUUUACAAACUCACUUGACUUGAACUCCCCUCUUUUUCUUCUGGCACUCCGUAGAUCCUGAUAUUAUUUCUUCUUGAACUGCUCUCCAAAUCGACAAUUUUGUCUCGCAUCUCCAUGUUCUGCUUCACCACCCAUCAACAGCGUGUCUUUCAUCUCUAGGCAGGCUGACUCCAGGUCGGCUAUCCGGGUUUGUGCCUCUGCAUUGUUAAUGUUUUGGAUCUGUAGCUCUUGCAAAACUUCCUCUUUAAACUCUGCGAAGUCGUCUUUCACAGCUUUCUUAAUUUCGUUUUUAAAUUCGCUCAGGUCCUUUCUCAUAUCUUGUUUGAAGCCUUUUAGCUCCUUAGUGAGUGAUUCAAGCAGAGCGUUUUGGUGGAUGCAAGCUGCUGUGUUAGCUUCACCUGUCGAUGUUCCUCCAUGGUCGCCAUCAUCCACGUGUUCGGCAGACUCGGUCACCUCCGUGUUUUCUUGUGCUUUGUUCAUUUUCCUGUCAAUCCUCUGACCGCUUCGCAGUUUCCCUCCUUUCAUACUUGAUUUAAAAAUGUUUUCAAAGCUACUUCUAUUGAUAGGAGGUACUUUUCUCAAACCUACUAGUGGGAGCUCACUGCUACGCGUCCAUAUUGCUGUAGCGUCGCACCGGAAGUCUCAAGUUCCUCUCAGGACACUUUUCAAAUAGAGCAGGUCUAGACCGAACUCUUUUAAUAUUAUUUACAGAGACCCAACAGUACCACCAUGAGCAAGCACUUGGCGACGGGGGCAAGGAAAAACUGCCUGUUAAGAGGCAGAAACCUAGGACAGACCCUCUAGGUGGGUGGUCGUCUGCCUCGAUCAGUUGGGGUGAGAGAGAAAGAGAGACAGAGAGAGAGACAGAGAGAGAACAGAGGUAAAGACAGAAGGACAGAGACAGAGACAGAGGUGCACAGCAACAACAGUAGCAACAACUACACUAAUAGUAGUGACUGAUGAUGAUGAACAUGAACAACGAUGGGGGACAAUGAGCAGUGUUUAUAGUAAUAAUAGUAACUGUAGUAAUAAUAAUACUAAUAAUAAUAAUAACACUAAUAUCAGUAAUAUUAGCGAUGGCAGUCAAGCAGGACCAUGGCAGGAGGCUCCGCCAGGAUCCAUGAGAACCUGCGAGACAAGAAAGCACAAGAACUCCGGGGAAGAAGUGAAGUUAGUAACAUGCAUUAAUGGGACAUGAAUGAGUACAGAAAGAGAGAGAGAGAGGAAGAGAGGAGCUCAGUGCAUCAUGGGAAAUCCCAGAUAGUCUAGGCCUAUAGCAGCAUUACUAAGGUAUGGUUCAGGACUCACCUGAGCCAACCCUAACUAUAAGCUUUAUCAAAGAGGAACGUCUAAAAUUCUUCAUCCGGUUCAAAUCUAGAGUUAAAAAGCACCAAGAUCUAAACAGUGGAUGGUAAAAAUGUUGCUUCAGACUGGAUAAAAAUUCCAUGUAUGACAGCUUCUGGCAGACAACCACAACGCUGGCGCAGGCACAAAGGGGUUAUGACGCCAUUGACAGGCGACCGGUGAAACGCGUUACCUGAAUAAAAUGACAGAUUUCUCUGAGUUUGAACAUUUGGGAUAAUGGAAGUACACAACUCAACUACAUAUAGAAGAUAUUUAUAGAUAUUUAUUGUGGAAAUGUAUUAUAGCAUAUUAUAGCUUUAAUUUGUACAAAAACUUUUCUUUUAAGCCUUUUGGUGUAAUUCCUUUCCACCAGAAAAAAAUAUUUAUUAUCAUAUUCUUGUACCAUGACAUUUCAAUUGUAGAAACAUGGCUUUAGAUGUACUAUUCAAAGCUGUGCAGUUAAUAAACAGAAACAGCAGGUCAGACCACAGAUGAUUGUAUACUGUACGUCAGCGUUCCAUAUUAGUACAAGAGGGUUGGUGAACUAGGACUUACACAGACGACAACACCGACAUGUUUUAACAUUUAUAUAAAUUGCUUUACUUUGAAUAAUAAUUUGUAUCUGAUAUGUUGUUUUCAAAAAACUAUUAUUACCAAUUAUUUAUUCAUUCAUACUUCACUGUAAAGUCCAUUCUCAGUGGAUGUGCACUUCACUUCUACAUCACACUGUACAAGUUGCAUACUGGACCAGCACUGACUUCCAAACUAUUUGUGAUGUUACAAAUCAUGCUCGUUUGCCAAGCCACUUAAAUUCAUGAUAGAUGAAUAUGAGGGGCUGUACAAGCCAUAAUUCAUCCCGACCCUGCACACGAAUAAUGGCUUAUACGACCCCUCAUAGAUGAAUGUGAAAACAUCCUUCUAGAGUCAAACUUUGCACAUACACCAUUCAAACAGCACACUGUAGGGACAAGAAUAUUUUUGACUGGAGGGGGACUUUAAUGUUUUGUCAUAUUUAAAGGGUGCUUUUAAGGGAAAUUGGUUCUCCACGUCACUAUAUGUGGUAGGAAGGUGGAGAUAAAGUCUAAUAAUAAAAAUUUAAAAUAAAUGUGUGCAUUAUGGGUUGCAAGGUCAGUUUGAGAGUCAGAUAAAAACAAUAAAAAAAAAUUAAAUCCCUGCAGAGGAAACUGAUGACUCUCAUGUGUGGAGAUAUGAGGUUUCGGUCUCUGUCAUUAGCAUUAGUGUCGGUCUGAACGCAGCACAUUAGCUACAGGUUUUACUGCGCUAUAAUUAAUCCUCUUCACGCUCAUCUAUAAUUCAGGGAGGUGUUUUUUUUUCUUCUUGGAUUUGGAAGAGAGAGAGGGGCUUAUUUAAAUUUGACACAGUUUGAUGAAAAUAAGGUGGUGGCAGUGGUUUGUCUGUCUCUGUAAUUAAACAAGCUUUUAAUGUAUAAUUUAGUUUUUUAAUCUUAAUGGUUUCACCCACGGCAUGUCUCUGGCCUUCGGGGGAAAAGUGAUUGUAACCUUUAAUCCUCCAGAAGACAGAAAACCAGUAAAAAUCAGUACAACUCAGAUAAGAGAAAAUACAAGAAUCAGUCUGACGAUAUUGAGAUCUGAUUCUGAUUAAAGAUGCAAAAAGACAAAAAUCCUCUGUGUUCAAUCCUUUCAUUUUGUCCUCAUGCAUAUUUAACAUCAAAAAGCCUUUUUAGACAUUUAAAUUAAAGCAACCCUUCAUUUCACAUCAAUCUGAUGACUGUAAACUAGCUUCAAAUUCUGAAGGAAUUAAACCUCUUUUAUAAAAAUUGCAGUGCAAAAGAGAAUCUCUUGAAUCUUCUUAUUUCAGAUUAAAAGAUAUCAAAUAUUCUCUUAAAAGUCAAAUCCAAACUGUUCAUGUUCAAAAAUCUCCUUAUGAAUUAAGAAGUCAUUUUUGUGUAACUUAAAACAAAUGAAAACAAGACUAAUUCUACAUUCACACAUACAGAAAGUACCACACAUAACACGAGGAAGUGCAGACUAUCUUUGUGUAGGGUCUUUUUUUAACGUGUUUAAAUUCAGCUUAAAUUGGCAGCUGUAUAUUAGAUUGUUGCAUAGGGAGUUUUGAUCAAGAUUUUAACUUCUAUUUUUAUUCAUCUUUCUGGUGUUCUUUUUCUUCUUCUUCUUUCUUCUUCAGCAGUGACAUCCCUUAUUUUGUCUUGUUUCAAGAUACAAACACAGAUUGUUACUAGAAACAGGUUGAAAUACUUUUUUGUUCACUUCUUUUAAGAACAACCAAGGCUGGACAAAGAAGGGGAAAAGUUGUAACUAAAAAUAAGUUAAUUUUUACUAAAAGACAAAUUAAGUUAAAUACAACGAAAACAAAUCGCCUCCAGCCUACAUAGUCUUGCCACCAGACCAGAUGAACUGGAUCUCGACGAUGACCCGACUCCACCCACCAGGCUCUUGGGAGACACCUGCUCAGAGGAACAUUGUUUUCUGCACUCAACUAUAGACAAAAGUUUCUUGAGAGGAUGGGGAUGUUUUGUUUCUAUGAUAAAUUUCUUCUCAAGCCCCUGGGAGAAGAUCACAGUCUAAUCAACAUGGAUGUUUAAAAGAAUCACUCUCAGAAACGCUCCAACAUCCUCCUGCUCGGCGUUACAGAGCUGUGAGUCACUCCACUGAAGGAACCCGGCGAGGGAUGAAAGUGGUAUUAGUGCCGGUUAAUUCGUCCUGACAGUUGGAAAUGUUAAAUCCUGCAGGGGGCUCAGCUUAGUGCGCUCGCUCUCUGCCUAAGUAGGUUAAAUACAAACCAGUGUGAUCAAUCUGCAGACACUAAAUAAAUCCACGCAGCCGAGCCAAACACCAGCUGGAAACUUGUAAGGAGGAAACAGGGGGAAAGUAAAGGAGUUGAAGUGGAGCCAAGACACCUUGGAGCAAGGCACUAAACCUGCUCAACCAGUAGAGGCAAAGAUGGAUUACUAACCAGAGCAAUGGGGCCAGCACUGAGGAGACUCUGACAGCCAGGAACCUCUGACCACCUCUGAAAAGAAGGAAGAAAAAUUCACAAGUUAAAAAGGGAAUAAAGAAUUGAAGAGGGGAAAUGAGAAGGAAAGACAGGAUGAAAAACUUGAACAAGAUACAUGAAGAAAUGAAAAGGAGAGAAUGAAAGAAAGAAUAGAUGUGAUAAGUGGAGAAGAAGAAGGAGAAACAGGGAACAAAGGGAAUAAGAGAAGCACAGAAGUGAAACAGAAAAGUUUAAUCUUUUGGGAUUGUGGUACCUUUCAUACUUUGUCACAGCAGCAGGGUGUAAAUGUCCACAUCCUCAAUGUCAGCUAAUUUAUUUCCACAUUUAACAGACACACAGGGCAACAUUACAGAGUCCAAUGUGAAGUGAAAGAGGGAACUGUUCAGAGCCAACUUUUUCUUGAGUAAAUGAAGCGUUACCUUUAUGAAGGUAUAGGCCUGAUGCAGUUAGCUUUAAAUUGGUGCUCCACCCUAAAACGUGUUCUUUGAGCUGUAAACUAAAUUAUAUGACUAUACUAGAAUGAAACACAUCAAUACUGGUAUUAAAAUUAGCAUUAUUACCAAAGUUACAAAAAUCUGCAUUUUGUGGGUUGAAAAUGGCUCGACCGGCUCUCUAUUGUUCUGAGAAUGUAAGGCCAAUGCUGACAGUGUUGACACCUCUUGCAACUCUUUGUCAUGAAAUGUAUAUAAAAACUGUUUUAACGCCAUAGCUAAUCAGAGAAGGGCAGCCUACCUCCCCCAGCUUCCGCUUUGUGAAAGUUGGAGUCUGUGAAACUGCUUUGCUCAUUUUCAAAGUAUUUUAGUCUUUGCUAACUCUCUUAUUAGUAUUUUUCUUUUCUGCUACAGUACACCCUCAACACUGUAGAAGCACCAGACUGCAAUCUUUAUCUUGAUCCCACACUGACAGUCCCCCCUGGACAUAUACUACGAGAGAGUUAGCCUCUCUGAGCACUUAGCUCAGCUACAACACAGGUACCACACAGAAACUUUUACAAACAGCCAUGAAUCUGCGACAGUGGACUCUGUGUUUCCAGUGCAGACAUCAACAUAAGAAAAGAUGGAGGCUGUGUGUCUACUUUCCUCCCACUAUACAAAAAUUAAGCCAUAAUAUCCCAGAUACGGCCGCUGCUCUGGUGACAUCAUUAGGAGCCAGAGUCUGGGGUUGGUGCUGUGGUAUUGAGGCCCCGCCCAUAUGCCCGGCCGACUCAGUCACAAGCAGGACUGUGCUGACAAUCAUGACGAAACACCCCCUUUUUAUGGCUUAAAACCAAACUGAUCAGAAAAAAUUUAACUUUAACUUAAAUCAGUGUGAUAAGAGCUAUAUAAAAUGCCAGAAACCCUCUUUGGGAAAAAUGUAUUUGAUGUGUGCUUUGAUUUUUUAGUUUCGCCCAUGUCCCAGCUUUAUGACCUAUACUGCAGUGAGCCACCAGGGGGCCACCAAGAUGUUUAAGUUUCACUUUUGUCCAUCUUUAUAUAUGACGAUGGUCUCACAGCAGCUGCUCGUGGGUGGUUAGCUCUGACUACCAGCUCUCUGUUCCUGCUACACUGCUUAAAGGCCCAAUCCAUAAUCUGAAAAUGGCACCUUUUUUGGAAAACUAUGCCACAUUUUGCUCCACUGUUCAUUUAGGGCAGUCAAAGGUCCCUCAGAGUGGGGUUGUGCCCAUCAGUGACAACAUACAUAAUGCUGCCAGCGAACAAGAUUCUCUAUUUUGGCUAUCUAAGCACAGAAGACCAGCUUUAUAGAGAGCCUCUGGGAAUCAUGUAUACAGUACACUGUCCAUCAAACAUCAAGAGCCAGAAUCCCGUCCCUACAUGAGGACCUCAACCGAAAGGUACUUUUAUAGAAUUGAGUCGUAAACAUGAAGGGAUACAUCAUGUUUUUCCAAGUGGGUGUUUCUGUGACAUUAAAGGCAACUGUUGACAGAACUUGUGUAUCCAGUGGUGUGUCUUCUAUUUCACAGCAGUGUGUUUUACUUGCACAGGGAGACGUUGGUGCACAAACUCCAUGACAAGCAGAUUGAGCUGUUCCUGGCUUGCUUCCUGAAAGGGGAACACCUCACUCAAGUGUUACCCAGGGCUCUGGGAGUGAUGGUGCUGAGGGAUAACAUGCCGCUGCAUGCCAAGGAGAUGUAUCGGGACAUGAAGCAGACACAUUCAGAACCAGGAAUCCCAAUCAUGCUACUAGUAUCCAAACAACAUUUGAAAAAAAAAAUUGUCAUUGUUUUGAGAAAACAUGGUAAUGUAAUGUACUAUAUUUCAGCGACUAAAGCCUUUCAUGGGAAAUGGUGAGAAAAGUCUACACCACUGGCUGUAUGCAGAAGGCCAGACCCACUGCUGAGAGGCCACUCAGGCAACCAUCCAGCCAACCAAUAAGUUGAAUGGAAUGCUGGGCCACCUCUUAGCAGCUGGCAGUGAUAUUCUCCAAAAGAUCAUACAACUAUGAUCUGUGCCUGGCCAGGUUCAAGUAAGGAGAGAACAUCGAAAGGUAAGUACCCACCCCUCAGUGCAAUGGUCAAAUGUGCCCUCUGCAUCUUUCAUGAACCCAGCUCAAAGUCAUCUUUCAGCCUGAUGAAUGAGAUCAUCGACCCCAGAAGCGGAAACAUGCACAUCUCAACAUUCAUAGCCAUCCAAACAGUCAAAUACACCCUUCAGUCCAGGGAGGCUCUUCAAAAGGGAGGUCGGGUAUAGAAGGGUGGACUGUACACUCUAUAAGAACAUCCGAUCAGCAGGAACCACUGACCAACGCCAACAGCAGCAGAAUCUGCUAGAAAAAUGAUGGAAGCAGAGCAAGUAUAGCUGCCAACCAUCUGACAGUCUGCAGAGCAAAACGCAGACAGCUAAAGAGCAGAAGGCUUGAUACGGGAAAACAGCAAAAGCGGGCCCUUGAGAUACUGGUCCAGACCAAGGAGAAAAUGAGGACAGACCCCUCACGUUUUGUGUAUCAUUCAUAGUCUUUUAAGACCGGUUUACUUUUAGCCCGGUGGCUCAGUGGUUAGCACUGUUGCCUCACUGCAAGAAGGUCCUGGGUUUGAAUGGGCAGGGCCUUCCUCUAGGUGAUCCAGUUUCCCCCAACAUCGAACACAUAUAUGUUAGAUUCUCCAGUCAGUGCCCUUGACCAAGACACCAGCCUAUAACUGGAGUUGGUCCGUUUUUAGUACAUCAGUACAUAUGUGGCCUACAGGUGAAUAUGUCUGUGUUGGGGUUAAAUACAGAUUUAAUAUAGAUUUAAUAUUCAUUUAAAAUUAGCGUGUUACUUGUUAAUUAUUUUGCACAUUAAAUUAAACACAGUACCAUAGUACGGUGGCCCGGAGGUGCAAAUCACAACGGCAAAUCAGAAAACACAUAGAUAUGGACUAUUGGAACCCCUGUUUCUACCUCUCUUAGGUAUCCCACAUUAACAUGGACGUAUUAAUACAAUAUUUUCCUUAUUUAGUGGUUUACAUUUUUCAGAUUUGGCAACUUGAACGCAUAGGUCUGGCGGUGUUGUGUUUCCGGUUCAAAGGACGGACCAGUUCUUUUGUCCAAUCAGCGACAAGGGUACCUACCUUUUCCGGUUUGGUUAAUGUCGUUGUGUUUUCUGAUUUGCCGUUGUGUUUUCUCUUUUUGUGUUGUGUUUUCUCUUUUGUUGUUGUGUUUUCUCUUUUUGUGUUGUGUUUUCUGAUUUGUCGUUGUUUUUUCUCUUUUUGUGUUGUGUUUUCUGAUUUGCCGUUGUGAUUUGCACCUCAGGGCCACCGUACCAUAGAGAUACUACAUAAAUUUAUAUUUUAUAUUUUAUACUUGACUUUUGCAGUACUUUUCUCUUACUAUGCUUAAUGUGCCCGGUAUGCACCAAAAUACCAAAGCAAAAUAUGUUUGUUUACUACUUAAAGAACUAGGCUGUAGGAUUUAGUGGCAUCUAUUGGCGUGGUUGCAAAUUCAACACGCAAACGUGAACGGCCCUAUCUACAGUCAGUGUUUCGUUUGUCCCUUGUGGGGUACUGUAGAAACAUGGCAGUUCAUCAUGGAAGGUGACCUGUGGCAUCUGUAGAUAAAAACUGCUUAUUCUCAGGUAACAAAAACAGGUGGCCUCAAUCAACUAUCAGUUAAUUAAAAAUGUACAGCUUGAAAUGUACUAGUUUGUACAACAUGUUGUCCGAUCACAACUGAAGCAAAUGUCUUUAUAGCUGUUCUGAACGGCCACACUGGGAGGCAGAGUGAAAGGUCUGCUGUCAUAGAAUCAAGCAAUAAUCAUUCCAGUGGUAAUAAUAGCGCAAACUUUCUGAUAUCUUUACAUAAAGACAAUCGUUUGCACACACAAAUAGUGACACAAGUCGCAAAGAAUAAGAAGAGUGAGAGUGAGAGUUUGAGAGGGAAGUUUAAAGUUUAUCAUGCCUGGUUUCUAACAAUCUGGGUCCAAACUCACAACAGGCCUUCAGUUGUCUUUAAAAAGUAGAAUAUUUGCUUUCAACAGAACCAUUUUAUGAUGCAAACAGUCUCAUAGUGUGGUUUCAAUGCGCCGUUAUCUGUUUCAGUUAAUGUCAGUGUGGGUUGGCUUGAGCUUCGCGUUGGAUAAACCUCUUGACGUUCAUCUUGCGACCUGCUCAACUGGGACUGGAAGCGUGGUCAGACAGUCAGAUGGACGGAUGUUGGAGGAAAAGGCCCCGCAGCUGCUCUGCUGCAUGAAAUUACAGAGAAAAACACGGCAAGGAAAUUUAUGCUGCUGCCUCUUUGUGUUCACGCUGUGAGAGAGAGCAAGCUGAGCGGAAACUGAUCAGAUCUGAUCAGAGCCACGCUCAGGACGAGGCCAGCGGUGCAAGGCUGACUCUGUGAGUCUGUGUGUGUGUGGGGGGGGGGGCACACGUUCACGCAGCCAUAAACUAAUUUCAUCCAGAGUCGUGGUCGCAGCUCGUCUAAAAAUACUAACGCCUCACAUGUUUUUUUAUCUUCAAACUGGAGGUCAGAAUCAGAAUCAACAGCAGCUUUCAGUUCUUUACAGGAGCUGUCCUACAUUCAGAGUUUGGUUUAAAAGCAAACAAUAAAAACUUUUGUUUUUCUUUUUGUGUCUUUUAACAUUUCUACAGGCUGACUAGCAUGUAAUUAUAUUCCUUUUGUGCCUUUAAUUAAUACAUUUUACUAAUAAUGCCCAUUUUAACCUUUUUUUAAUACAUGCAUUUUUAAACAAAUUUUCAUAUCUUUUAGUAUUGAUUAUGAAAAUCAGAGAAUAUCAAACUGUUUCGACGCUCAGUGUAUUUCAUUCUGAAGGUUGAAGGUCAUCACGUAGCUGCUCAGCCCACUUAGCAGCGAUUAGGCAGUCAAGGUUGAAGAUGAUAUUUAGAGAAAAACUUCAGGCCAAAAGCCGAAAACAAAUAGCUGCUCAUUACCAUUAACGGGGUCAACAACAAAAUUAUGGCAACAUGUCAAUAAAACAGAACUGACACAGAGCUGUGAUACAGCUGACACCAGAAAUAUAUUUUCAAAGGACCAGACUGCUGUUUUCAUUUGUUUUACACAGCAUCUUUCAUCCAGCAGCUGUUUAGAGUCCAUUGUUUAAGGCAUAUUCUUACUAGACAACACUACAAAUACACUACCAUAUACUUAAAGCAAUAUUAUGUCAUUUUUCUAACUGCUUCCAAGUAAUUUUGAUGCUACACUGAGUUGUAAUAGGUUGAAUGGCGCUUCUGUCAUGUUUGCUGAAAUCAUAACAAAUACAAGUGUACAGCUGUCCACAUUUACCACAGUGGUAUUGCACUCUGAAACUUGGGAUGCCAACUUGUAACAAAUACCAAAUCUUACAUAAUGUUGCUUUCACUAUUUUGGAUGGACCCUGGGUGGAGCGUAGAUCAAUCUGAACACACCCAACUUUAAGCUUUAAUGUCUCCUUAAUGGAAUUUUUAUUCAGAAAAUAUGUCCUCAGAUUCACAUCAGAGGAAGGUAAAUCUUGUCAGAAGAGCGUAAAAAUGUUCUUGCUUUUGUACUUGCAGAGAAAAGUAGGGGCUUUUUCAACCACCUCAAUACAGUGUGGGUUUUCCUGGAGCAGCAACUCAUGGACAGUAGAGGAACUGCAGCUGAACACACUUCUCUGACUGAGCUGAGGACACUUGUGCUUCUUACUUCCUGCAAACUUUCUGUUUGCAGUUUGUCUUGUAGCAGAUUAAUGUUCCCGAAUUAAAUCUGACAAAUCCCAAACAAA